rnacentral:lncRNA from 1 species
AACUGCUGACGCCAUCCCAGGCAGCACAGCUGACUCUGACUUCCGGAGCACUGAAUGACUCCACAAAAAUGGAGGCCAUCUUUGAUCGCCUAGAGGAGGGAGAUGCUCUUCAAAAUGUUGACCAGUUUCUGACAGCACUGAGCGUGGCUCCCGAGGUAAUUCACGCCAUCCACUCAAGACGACAAAGAUUCCCAGCGCACCGUGCUGGUGCCCUUCAUAGGGAAUAUGAACGCUCAUGUCUCUCCUGUCUCCACAGAUUCCAGAUAUUGCCCCUCCCGUGAGAGACUUUGCCAUGAACCGCACCUUCAACAUCAUCAGCGUUCAUUUCCUGCAGUUUGAGGUAUCGGCCUGGAUCGCCUGGUUCCACGUGAAACUAAUUCCUGUCCUCCCCAGUUUCACUACAGAGAUGCUCACUCAAACCACCGCACAGACAAACUGCACCAACUACCAAGUCAUUGUGAAAGGAAUGGGCAAGGUCUCCAAGAAAAUGCCGCUCACCAGAAGAAAGGGAAUCGCCAACGUCCUUGUGAAACAUCUGAAGCAGUUCUUGGCCACGUUCAACAAAAGAGGUAACUGGCCCUUGCACACACCAAGCUAGCUUAUAUUAACCUGGAUUCUGACCCAAGAUUUCCUGAGCCUUGCGGAAGCUUCCCAUUUCCAAAUCUUUUAUAAAUUCCCGAGAUGUUGGCGCUUACCUCAGGCUUUGACCCACGUUUUUGUUUAUUUUCUAGCCUGCAGACUGGACAUCCAGAAUGAUGCCGAAUGGCUGGAGGUCAACCUGGGUCCAUUCUCCAAAGAAGUAGACUACUCUGCCUUUAAAGAACUGAACAUUACAGGAGUAAGAGAAACCUCAUUGGCACUUUGAAACGUUGUUCUCCACACCACACCGUUUAAGAAAGCGUCUUUUCCCAUUUCAAGAUUCAGCUGCUGUCACUUGCGAUACGUUUUUUUUGCCAAUAACUAUUUUCUUUCUCCACAGCUGGCAACUUUGGACUCGCUCUCACCGGACCAGAAAGCUGAGUUGGUUCUGGACCCCAGUAGUGGUGCUCUUGAGAAUGUGACUGUCUUGACAGAAGUCUUUGGCAGCAUAGUGGGAUCUCCAGACGAUGGGGAACUCGACCGUUUCUGGGAGGCUUGUGCCGCUGUCACGGCGCAGGUGAGUGGGUCGCAUGGAAGGUCAAACUUCAUCACUUGCCAAA